AGAGGUCCCGCCUGCCCUGUGAUUAUAUAUUUAACGGCCGCGGUAUUUUGACCGUGCAAAGGUAGCGCAAUCACUUGUCUUUUAAAUGGAGACCUGUAUGAAUGGCACAACGAGGGUCCAACUGUCUCCCUUUUCUAGUCAAUGAAAUUGAUCCCCCCGUGCAGAAGCGGGGAUAAGAGCAUAAGACGAGAAGACCCUGUGGAGCUUUAGACCCCGAAACAGAUCAUAUCCCAUAGUGCCCCCUCCCAAGGAACUGAACCUACUUGAAACCUGUUUCACUGUCUUUGGUUGGGGCGACUGCGGAGUAUUGACCAACCCCCGCGUAGAAUGAAGAGACUACCUCUUUAAAGUAAAGAUCCACACCUCUAAAUAACAGAAUCUCUGACUAAAUAUGAUCCGGCACCCCCGAUCAGCGAACCCAGUUACCCCAGGGAUAACAGCGCAAUCCUCUUCCAGAGCCCAUAUCGACAAGAGGGUUUACGACCUCGAUGUUGGAUCAGGACACCCUAAUGGGGCAACCGCUAUUAAGGGUUCGUUUGUUCAACGAUUAAAGUCCUACGUGAUCUGAGUUC
rnacentral:rRNA from 1 species